CACUUUCUAUACAUAAGAAAAAUCCUCAUAGACAUGGAGAACACAAAAAUGUUCGUAUUGGUAGCGAUGAUGUUAAUGAUUGGAAACCAUCUUACUGUAUCGGUGUACGCGGAUAAUCCAAUAACGCGUGCAUUAUGCUAUUUUAAAUGUAAUGAACUAUGUCUUAUUGAUCCACGUUAUCUUCUAAACUCAGAAAAAUGUGCCAAAAAAUGUGUUAAGGAAUGUCAUAUGCCACCUGGUUAUGUAAUACAAGACACAAUCAACCAAAUUGAUUAUUUCUGCCAAGUGGGUUGUGUUAAUCAUCGUUGUGCUCUCACUGAAAAUCAAAAUAUGGAGAAAGCUGCGGGCUGUGUGAAUUCAUGUUCAGAAAUUUGUAAUAAAAAGAACUAAUAGCGAUAGAAUAUGUUAUAUUAUAACAAUUUAAUGUUUAAUGAAGAUAGUAUGAAUCAAAUCAAUUUAAUAUACAA